rnacentral:piRNA from 1 species
GCUGUGAACAAGUGAGUAGAAGGUUGCUGAG